rnacentral:rRNA from 1 species
UAAAAAGCUCGUAGUUGGAUUUCGGGGCGGCCCGGCCGGUCCGCCGCAAGGCGAGCACUGGUCGGGCGCCCUUCCUCUCGAAGGCUUCGACUGCUCUUGAUUGUGGUGGUCGAGGAGUUCGGGACGUUUACUUUGAAAAAAUUAGAGUGUUCAAGGCAGGCCGUGGCCUGAAUACAUUAGCAUGGAAUAAUGGAAGAGGACCUCGGUCCUAUUUUGUUGGUUUCCAGGGCCGAAGUAAUGAUUGAGAGGGACAGUUGGGGGCAUUCGUAUUUAAUUGUCAGAGGUGAAAUUCUCGGAUUUAUGAAAGACGAACAAGUGCGAAAGCAUUUGCCAAGGAUGUUUUCAUUAAUCAAGAACGAAAGUUGGGGGUUCGAAGACGAUCAGAUACCGUCGUAGUCCCAACCAUAAACUAUGCCGACUAGGGAUCGGCGGAUGUUAGCGUCUGACUCCGUCGGCACCUUACGAGAAAUCAAGAGUCUUUGGGUUCCGGGGGG